CGGGGUGAGUAACGCGUGGAUAACCUGCCUCACACUGGGGAUAACAGUUAGAAAUGACUGCUAAUACCGCAUGAGCGCACAGUACCGCAUGGUACGGUGUGAAAAACUCCGGUGGUGUGAGAUGGAUCCGCGUCUGAUUAGCCAGUUGGCGGGGUAACGGCCCACCAAAGCGACGAUCAGUAGCCGACCUGAGAGGGUGACCGGCCACAUUGGGACUGAGACACGGCCCAA
rnacentral:rRNA from 1 species